UACAGAGGCUGCGAGCGUUAUUCGGAUUCACUGGGCGUAAAGGGUGCGCAGGCGGCCGUGUGUGUGAGGCGUGAAAGCCCGGGGCUUAACCCCGGAAUUGCACCUCAAACUACACGGCUAGAGCAUUGGAGAGGGUAGCAGAAUUCAUGGUGUAGCAGUGAAAUGCGUAGAUAUCAUGAGGAAUACCAGAGGCGAAGGCGGCUACCUGGACAAUUGCUGACGCUCAGGCACGAAAGCGUGGGGAGCAAAAGGG
rnacentral:rRNA from 1 species